rnacentral:rRNA from 1 species
AUUGAACGCUGGCGGCAGGCCUAACACAUGCAAGUCGAACGAGUGGCGGACGGGUGAGUAAUGUCUGGGAAACUGCCUGAUGGAGGGGGAUAACUACUGGAAACGGUAGCUAAUACCGCAUACCAUCGGAUGUGCCCAGAUGGGAUUAGCUAGUAGGUGGGGUAAAGGCUCACCUAGGCGACGAUCCCUAGCUGGUCUGAGAGGAUGACCAGCCACCCUGGAACUGAGCACCGGUCCAGAUUCCUACGUGAGGCAGCAGUGGGGAAUAUUGCACGAUGGGCGCAAGCCUGAUGCAGACAUGCCGCGUGUAUGAAGUAGGGCAUCGGGUUGUAAAGUACUUUCAGCGGGGCGGCGUUACCCGCAGAAUAAGCACCGGCUAACUCCGUGCCAGCCGCCGCGGUAAUUC